AUUGAACGCUGGCGGCAGGCCUAACACAUGCAAGUCGAGCGAGCGGCGGACGGGUGAGUAAUGUAUGGGGAUCUGCCCGAUAGAGGGGGAUAACUACUGGAAACGGUGGCUAAUACCGCAUAAUAUCGGAUGAACCCAUAUGGGAUUAGCUUGUAGGAUGGGGAAAGGCUCACCCAGGCGACGAUCUCUAGCUGGUCUGAGAGGAUGAUCAGCCACACUGGAACUGAGACACGGUCCAGACUCCUACGGGAGGAAGCAGUGGGGAAUAUUGCAACAUGGGCGCAAGCCGGAUGCAGCCAUGCCGCGGGUAUGAAGAAGGCCUUCGGGUUGUAAAGUACUUUCAGCGGGGAGGCGUUACCCGCAGAAGAAGCACCGGCUAACUCCGUGCCAGCAGCCGCGGUAAUUC
rnacentral:rRNA from 1 species